AACGAUGAUGGAGAGCUUGCUCUCCUGAUUAGUGGCGCACGGGUGAGUAUACCAUAGAUAAUGUACCUCUUAGUUCGGGAUAGCCACUGGAAACGGUGAUUAAUACCGGAUACUCCUUCUUGUCUCAAGGCAAGUCGGGAAAGUUUUUUCGCUAAGAGAUCAGUCUAUGUCCUAUCAGCUAGUUGGUGAGGUAAUGGCUCACCAAGGCUAUGACGGGUAUCUGGUUUGAGAGGAUGAUCAGACACACUGGAACUGAGACACGGUCCAGACUCCUACGGGAGGCAGCAGUGAGGAAUAUUGCACAAUGGAGGAAACUCUGAUGCAGCAACGCCGCGUGGAGGAUGACGCAUUUCGGUGUGUAAACUCCUUUUAAGAGGGAAGAUAAUGACGGUACCUCUUGAAUAAGCACCGGCUAACUCCGUGCCAGCAGCCGCGGUAAUACGGAGGGUGCAAGCGUUACUCGGAAUCACUGGGCGUAAAGGGUGCGUAGGCUGGCUUUUAAGUCAGAUGUGAAAUCCAAUGGCUUAACCAUUGAACUGCAUUUGAAACUGGGAGCCUAGAGUUCAGAAGGGGCAGAUGGAAUUAGUGGUGUAGGGGUAAAAUCCGUAGAUAUCACUAGG
rnacentral:rRNA from 1 species